rnacentral:lncRNA from 1 species
GCUGAGCAAACACAGACAGACAAUCCUCAGUUGACAAGUUUUUCAAUUCAUAAGCUUGAUCCGGCCUCAUGAUUUUUGCAACCUGUUGAUUGCGAGUAGUGACAACAAUCUUACUUCCCUGUGCGCCAGCUUCAAACGGACGGCUCAUGUCAACCCAGUCAUUGUAAUUCUCAUUCCAAACGUCGUCUAAAACGAGCAAAAAUUUCUUUUGAGAUAACUUCUUCUUCAGCUCCUCUUGAAGCAAAUUUAAAUCACUGUCAUCAAUAGUCUGCUUGGUAAUGGAUCUUAGAAUUGUUUUUGUUAGCCCCUUAACGUCGAAAUCCUCAGAGACACAAGUCCAUGCCUUGAGAUCAAAAUGAUCCUGCACUCGCUUAUCAUUGUAGACAAGCUGAGCAAGAGUGGUUUUGCCCAGGCCGCCCAUACCUAUAAUAGGAAUAACAGAGAAUCCACCAUCGUUGCUUAAAUCAUCCCUCAACAGCAGUUCAACAACAUCCUUCUUUUCUGUUUCCCUGCCAUAUACUUUGGCUUCAGUCACUAAAGAGGUUGUCUCCAGCCUUUGACUGGCUUUGUUGGACCCUCCAGCUGAACUUUCUUUCAAAUCUAGCAAGUUUUUCUGUGUCACAAUUUCUUGAAAUCUGCUGUUGAUCUCUUUGAUUUUGGACAUCAAGCCAUAAUCGAACUGAAUCGAUUGUGGAGUAAAAGUGGUGCAGCAAGCAGGAAUGAGCUUCCGAAACUUACUUGUUCUGGCACGACUGCUACUGGGUUGAUCAUGAGCAGCAGCUGGUUCUCCAUUUCCAAGCAGCAACAUCCUCCGGAAAGCCUCAGUUUGAAACUCAUCCAACAAGUCUUCAACAUCAUAAGCCAAGUUCUGAAGCUUGCCAAGCCACUUCUUCACAGACCGAUUAGUUGUCUUCUUCUCCUCAGCAUCAUCAAGCACCGCCUUGAUCAUCUCCAACAUAUUCUCCCACUUCAUUAGAUAGUCUUGGAUCUUCUCUUGGCGUGCAAAAAACAGAAUCCCCUCUGAAGCUAACUUAUUGACCAGCAAAUCAACAGAUGCCGUAAGGAUUGCCUCUCCGAUGAUCGACAUUUUUUUUCUUUUUUUUGGGCAAAGGAAGAAAGGAGCAGAAUUAUGGGUUAUGGAAAGCAGAAUGAGAAUAUUGAACGGGUGAGAAAAUGGAUAAUUAAGCGGAAUGAGUUUGUGAUUGUGAAGGGUCUGGUACAGCAAGCUUAGUAGAAAUCACGCGUUUGUACUUUAUUGACCAAUGACUAAAUAAUUUGGCAAUGCACCCACCACCACCACUUGGUGAGCAAAAUGAAAAAGUUUAAUAAGUGGAGGGGUCCAGCAAAAUACGACGUAAAAUGUGGCAAGUCUCCCCACUUGUUGUUCGUUGCAGCUAAGAAAAGAAAAAACAGAGCCCACCACCCAUUAAUAAUUUAGCAAAUCACCAAUCAUCACAAAAUUCCAUUAGAUAUUCGUCGAUCAAGUAGUUAAUCCAGUGUCUGCUACGUAGAGCCUUCACUUUACAAAUCUUCAACUCAUAAACCAAGUUAAAUCAAGACGUUUCUCUCUCUGUAUAUAUUUUUUUUAACUCCUAAAACGUUUCUUUUUAGAAAUAUAUUACUUUAUUCAUCUAAUAUGUUAUCUAACAAAUAGACACAGAUGAAAUCACUCUAAAGUGAAGAUGAAAGGGGAAAAAAAAAACAUUCCAACCACCAAUAAUUUAGCAAGCGUCACUUUUAUUCCACCAAAGUGUAAAUAAAGCCAGCCCCCACCACCAUCGAUAAUUUUGCAAGCUUCACACGCUUGUUGUCUUCUCCUUGACGAACUGGACGGGGUGGACCAAGAAUCAAUGAAAGAAUUUUAAAAAUAAUAAUAAAAGAAAAACAUAAACAUUUUGGACUCAGAGUAGAACCGUAAUUAAUGCUAAAAUUUACUCCGCUAACGUUUUCAAAAUAUUGUUCUUUACAAUUGUACAGCAAAUAAGACUAAGUUUUGGACAUUUUCAUAUUCACUUACUUUCAAAAGCAGUAUUUCGAAACAUUUUACAGAAUCAAGUAACAGUUAUAUAACGAGAAAAGUGCAAAGUUGUGUAAUUCUAAUGUUUAUUUUAUCACUGACACUCAGAUCAUUUUUUAUUUGGGUCGCCAACUCGCCAAUGAACCCAUGAUUGAAUAAGUGUUUAGAAAGAAAAUCAAUAAAAAACAGUUUUUUUUUUGUCGUCGAAAUAUAGUAAGUGAGAAAGAUUAUUCUGUUUUUUUUGUUAAUUAGGUUAGUAAUUAUGAUUGAGUGACUCAGAACUAUAUUCUAGAUUGAGAAUCAAUGGUUCUCCCACACUGAGAGGCUGUAAGUUUAAGAUUGUCGUUUGCUAUUUCAUCAACAAGAGAACACUUGAAUUUAUUAAAAAGAGAAGGCCAUAAAAGUUUUCUUUUAUGAGAAAUGUAUCUGAUCAUUCCUUUUUACUUGAAAAUUUCAUAUAUAAAAACUCAUUAAUAAAUGACAGAAUAUACAUAAAUUAUUAAUUCAUUUGAUAGUUGAUUAUCGAAGGACAUGUGACCCAUGGGAGCAUGCAGACUAUAAAAUAAUUCUUUUUUUUAUUAAACAAAAAAUCGGUGAUGUUGAAAAGCAAUAUUAAUUCGACUGAUAAUUGGGGUGAACAUUCAUAAAAAGAAUGCCGUAUGAAACUAAAUUAUUAAUUCGUUUGACAUGUGACCCACAAUAAAUAGUUAAAUUUGGCGGCAACAAUAAUUACAAGACGAACUUAAAGCAGCGCAUAGGUUUUUCUUAAAAAUACAUAAACAAUUCGAUAUUUGAAAUUCUAAUAUCUCAAUAAUCUAGUUAUCCUGUAUUUAGAUCCACAUACAAUUUCUUUUUUUCUUUUUUCUGAUUUCCAAUCGUUACCAAAAGAAAAUAUUUAGUGAUCCCUUUUAUCAACUUGGUUUUAUUGACUUUCUUCCAAUCAUAGAAGUGAAAAGAGAAACAGAGGCCAGCACCAAUAAGUGUUGUGUUACCAGAUUCUGUAAAGACAAAAUCAGUGCCCAGCAAAAAGAAGCAAUGUUUUCGUUAUAUGCUGCUUCCUAUUUAGUACAUGCAUAUAAAGAUAUGCACGUGCACAUGCAGCACAUCUAUCUAAAAUUUAAAAAAAGUAAUUAGAAAUACAGGAAUUAUGGUAGAAAUAUAACAGGAAUAAGAGUGAAAUUACAAUUUUAAAAUUUGGGAGAAAUGAAAUGCGAUAUUUUUUUUAUGAAUAAAAUAAUUUAAUUUUUUUUAAUUCUACCAGCAAAAACCAUUAACUUAUCAAGUUAUUGGUUUCAUUCACAGUUAACAGUCGGUUUCUUAGUUUCAUUCCUUAAUUCUACAAGAAAAAAACAGAAUACUUGACAUUUACUAUUUGACAAUUUUUAAGAAAUGUCAAGCAUAUAUGACAUUUUGUGAAAAACUGAGUAAUUGUGAAAUAUAAAUGACAAUUUAUUUAAACGUCAAAUAAUUGUGACGUUUUAUCAAAUAAAUGAUAAAUAUAUUACAUAUUUAUUAAAUAAUUAUCAUUUACCUUUUCCUUUUAUUGACUUGAGAAAAAAACAAAAACAUUGACUAUACUGCUUUUGUUUUCGUUCUUAGAACAGAUUUUAGUUUCUUUUGAGAAAAUUCAAACUCAUUCCCAUUACUUUCUUUUCAAUAAUCACCUCUCAGUUUUUCAUCAAUCACUCAAUACCGAAUUACAUCUCCAUUCUCUUUCGAAGAAGAACGCACGAAGAAUUUUAGCUUGCUUUCGCUGCUUCUCGAAUAUUGGGUAUUGUUUCCUUUAAUUUAGAUAAUUUUUUUUUUUAUAUCUCUCUUUCUAGUUUGAUAAUUUAUGGUUAUACUUGAAUUAAUUGUAUUUUUAAUCAACCAAGGUUGAUUUAAUUGAUUCCAAGUCUCAAUUUCCUGUUCAACAAACAAGGAACGCACAAAUAAUUUUCAUUUUCAUACUCAAUUUUGAAAGAAUCAAUUUAUUUUAUCUUUGGUUAGUACACUUCUGUUCAAUUUUUGUUUAUUUAACUUAAGAUAUCUUUUUCUUUCUUUUCUUCAAGCAGAUUAUAGAUUAUAUUGAGAACAGAGCUUUCUCCUUAAUUCCGCCAAGAGCAACGUUGAUUUCAGGUGAUAAUUGAAUGUGUAAUAUUUUCAAUUGAAAUUAAUUGAGUCUCGUAAUAAUAAUAGGGAUUUGAGAUUUACAUCCUGUUGAAAUGAUUUUAGAGUGUUUUGCUAUUUGAAUGCGUAUUAAUUGUUCCUCUGUUUCAAAUCCAAAUCCACUGGUCUACUAUUCAUUAUGACAAUGCAUAUGCCGAUAUUGUCUUCCAUCCUUUGUGUACCUUUCAAUUUAGUGAGGUUUAGACAGGGGUUCCAGAUUUGGUAAAUCAACAAUCACCAGAUAUGUAGAGCGGCCGGAAGAGGAAGCAUGGUUCCUAAUCCUAAUCUUGAUUUAGAGCAGAUUAGGUAACAUGUGACAUUCUACAUUCUUGCAAUGCCAUUUCUUGUUAUGGCAGCGGCAUUCUUGGUCAUGGCAUCACAAGCAAAUGCUUUGAUUUGAAGACUUGCUUGGCUAUGAAAAAUAAGGAGAGCAAAGGUAAUUAAUCUUGGUGUGAUCAACAUUUUUAUGGGGGUACUAAGAAAAAUAAAGAUAAUAUAAGGAAUGUUGUUGAGGAGUAUUUUCAUAUUUACACAAGUAUUCAAAGUAAAAAUUGAUUUCUUAAAACCCAUUAGCUAGCGCACAUAAUAAUGGGGAGAAAAUUUUAGACUACGAAUGGUCCCGCCCAUUUAAUAAUAUUCUUCAAUCAAUUAUGUUUACUUCAAAAAAAAAAAAACCUAUCUCUUUAUUACUUUCUAACUAUUCAUAUUAAUGUGUUAAUAAUUAUGAAGAACCGGUGUAAUUUAUAUGAUGUAGGAAGCACUUUAGGCAAAAUCAUUUGAAUCUCAAAAUUUCGUGAUAUUGUGCCAAAUAUCGAAAACAGAGCUUCCUAUCACAGAAAUUAGGAAUCACUGGAGAGUAGAGUUACGUGACUGAAUAGUAUCAUAUCACAGAAACUCAAAACUCAAAAGUGCAAUAACAUUGAACAUUCAGCUGGCUAGCUUAUAUUGAUUAAUUAAUACUACUACUAGUUCUUUAUGAUUAAUUAAAAGAUAAAAUAUUUGACAAUCACGAAACAUUAUUCCAUCACUGAAGAGUAGAGCUUCCUACAUUGUUACCCAAGCUCUUUUAUAUCUCCCAAACAUUAUUAGAGUCCCACAUUUGUGGGCACAUCAUUAAGUAAAAUGUGCCAAUUAGGAAGAACUGGCUUCUUUGUUUUGUUUUCUGGGAUGUGUUGCAAUUUUCAAGUAUCAUUCAAAAUUUUACACCAUCAACACAGGAAAAUUAUAUAUAUUCUGUCAGCACUUGCAUAUGUUGCAAGUGCUGACAGAACUUUUCAUUUGAUUUGAUAAUUGGCUAAGGGUGAUUUCGAUAACGUUUCCAAAGAAGACAUAGAACAAAGAUCAAAAAGAAAAAUAAGUAAUUUGAUCAGUCGAUGCAAAAAAUGAGCGAGCUUCGUAGUCUGACUAACAGGAAAUGGCUUGGAGCAAGGAUCAAUGGACAAGUUUGAGGUUUAUGAAUAAACAGAACAGAGGAAAUAAGUGAUCAAUUUAUUACUUCGUGCAAUGGCCACAGCAACAGCGAAAAUAUGUCUACAUGACUACAUUAUCCGACUGGCAUGGUACUAUAACCGUGCAGCAUUACACUAACAUUUCCUUAUCAAUCAAUUUUGAUGGUAUGAUAUUAAAAACAUAGAUUUCAUAAUUUUAUGUAAUUCAAAGAAAAGAUAUAAUUGAUUUGAGUUAGUUUAACAUAUAAGGAAAGAGUAAUGGGGAAUGAUGUUGAUGUGGCAUGUGAUGAGUAAAGAUAGACAACAAAUAUUGAUCGUGUAAUAAUGAAAUAUGUAUUUAUUGAAAAUAAAUUGACAAUUAAAAUUAAUAGAUAUAUAUCCAAUGCAUCGAGUUUAUUUUAUCACUUCGCUAACCAUUUUGUAACUACAUGUUAAUUAGAAGUUCAAUUAAUUUUGACCAAAGACUCUAGAGAAUGUCGAAAAGAGAUUUGAUUUUUGUCUUAAAAAAAAUUAGAAAUGAAAUAAGUCAAAAUCAAUCACAAGAACAACAACAAGAGCAUAUUUUAUAAAACCACAAAUACAUAAUAUAAAUUUAGUUUCGAAUUAGAUAAUUAUUAAUUUGUAUUGUAAGAGAGUCUUAUAGAAAAAUAGGAAUUUUUUAAAAGGAGAUUUGCUUAAGGAACAACUUUAGUUAAUGGAAGGAAAUACAAGUUUGAUUUUGACAAAGUAAUCACUAAAAUAUUUGACAAGUUUGAGAUGUUAAAAAACUGGAAAAAUAGACAAAUAAUGAAAACCCUACAAGUUGGCAAAGCGAAUAAACAGAGGAAAACAGAGCAAAUAUUUACCGUUAUACAUAUAUUUUUUUAUUUUUUUCCGAAAAAGAAUGUUGCGAUAUUUUUUCCCAAAAAGAAGCACAGUUUGAUAUUACUACCAAAGAACUUUAGCUACCAUAUAUAAGCACGUGUCUAAUUACCAAAUGAAUUCCGCUAUAACAAAGAAUAAAAGCUAAUUUCAUUGAUGGCAUAUGUCGUGCUUUCUUUUCUUUUAUUUUAUUGAAGUUACUUUGUAAACUGCUCCAAGCUAAAUACAAAAUUUACUCUUACACUAGGAUCUUUGCAAUGGUCCAGCAAUUUGUAUUUCCAUUCGGUGAGGUUGGUUUUUUUCUUUAAAGUUGGGAAGUCCAUGUUUGCCAUCAAGAGUACGAUUAAAGAAGAGAUGUUACAAUACACAAAAAGGAAAAAAAAUGCCCAAGGAAGCUUGGGACACUUUUGCAAUGAUUUUUUUUCAAUGAAGAAUAACACACAACUACAACUUUUGGACAAUGAGUUACAGUCAAUUUCACAGCAAAGCAACUUCAAUAACCGCAAAAUUUUUGGGUUAGAUCCUACUGUUGCAAUUUCUGAAUCCAGAAUGAAGAGAAUUAUUAUCCAUAGCUUGGUCAUAUACAAUAUGUGUGUGCGUGUGUGUAUGUGUGUGUAUUGGGAUGUCACAGGCCCUAAAAGAUACAGCUGAACAUCAAUCCUAAAUCUAAAGUGAAAAACAGUAGCUAGAACAUAAUCUUUGUUUUGAUGUCUUUGUUUAUAAGCUCAAACAAUUGACAGUAUAGAAAAUGCAUGAUAGAACAUAGAACUCAUAUUUUAGCAAUAAUCCUAAGCUCACUGGCCCUUAGUUCAAACUGGCAGUUCUUAUUAGUCAAAGAAUCAAAUUGACUUUUAGUUGUAUAUAAGUAGAGCACUAGAUCAACAAAUAAUUGAAGACUUGCUUGGCUGUGGAACCAUAGGAAGGCAAUUCGUGAACAGCCUUGAUAUUUCAUUUGGUUUUAUUUAAUUCUUUGUAAAGUCGUAUUGUAUGUAAAAUUUUUGUUAAAUGAAAUCGGUAUGUGAAGAGAAUUUUUAAAAGCAACCAUCAAAGUCACGAUCAAAGGGACGAAAUCAGUAUAAAUAUUGAUUGUCUCAAGUUAGAUUAUACAAAGAUGAAAUAAUUCUAAUCUAGAAAAUUCGAUCAUUAUAAUUUGAUUUCCAUUAUAUUAAUUAUGUUCAAUCUUGCUAUUUUAAUGAAGAACACUCGAGGAUUUAUAUACACUCAGCUUAUGAAAUUAAUUACAAAACGAUCUUUGACCAAGUCUGAUGAAAAGAUCAUAUUAUAAGUGCAAAGUUACACUUCCCGAUCAUGCAACUAUCCAUCGAAUUGUGUAUUGUGUUAUCGUUGAGCUCUUAGGAAGAUUCAGCUGCUGAGGAGAAGAUGUAAUCUGUUUUUAUGUGACAAGCCAUGUACUCUGCUUUUAUGGUGUUUCUCUUGGUAGUUUUGGACAAAACUGUAAUGUAAAUUUCUAUCUUAAGGGAUUCCUAAUCCUUUUAGUUAGUUUGGGAUUGUUGAUUUAUCUAUGAUGUUUGGUAUCCAAAAUUCAGGUGAUGAUAAUCUUCGCAGUACUUUUGUCAAAUUUUCUUUUAUGUUGGUGUUGUUUUAAUUAAAUAUCACAAAGGUGCAAAAUGCGGUAAAAUUAACAUUGAGCUCAUGAGAUUGCCAUUAGAUAUAUUGAAAAAGAAAUUGAUACAAGAAACUGAAAAUUAGUUGUUAAUUAUGAUGGGAAUAUAAUCUUUGAAUUAUAAUUAUAUCUAUCUAACGCAUGUGCACUAAUCUUAUUUAUCUCUAUCACUGAAAAAGCAGAGUGGCCUGAUUGAAUAGUAUCAUAUUAUGUCACAGCAAUCACAAAAACUCACUCAACAUUAUGCUAAUUUAUACUAAUUAAUUAAUACGACUAACAGGAAAAGUUGGAUCUCGCCUUGCUAAAAAUCAGGUGAUUGUUUUUCAUUUUUGCGGCUACUUGACUCAAUUAUGUUAUUGCAAGAGGAGAUUUCUAUUUUGUCCGGUUUAAGCCAUAAGAUGGGUUUUAAGAUUCAUUCUGAUUGGUUAUCUGUUAGCUUUUUGUUUUAAGAACUUCUUAUUUACGAAAGCCAAAUUCUUCUUUCUAGGUUUAUUCAUAUUCAGAAGUUGCUUUUGUCAUAUCAGAAGAAGAGGCUAAGACUGUUGAAGUACUAGAAGGGACUACUGCGCUGAUUGCCUUUUUCAUGGGCUUCUAAUAUCCAAUGUUGAUUAUCUCUUCCAUUUGAACAUGAGAGUAAAAAGAUAGUUGAUAUUUAUGUUACAAAAGUUGGAAGCGACUUAAGCAAUUCAGUAUCAUGCGAGGACUAUAAUAAUAACCCCGAUUAUUUUGCCUCUUGGAUUUUUUUGUUAAUUCACUUGCUUUAUGCUUAUCCGACCUCUGAUUUUUUCUUAAUAUUUCUUUGUAGUUCACUUCACAGCACUUAUAGCCGCUGCAUUGGCAUUUUCUGCUAUUUGUUAUUGUUCAUUGAAGCUAGUUAGUUUACGAAAUUUCUUUUUGAUAAAUCUUCUUCAGAGGGUUGUGAGAGGCCAAAUCAAUUGAGAUGACCGGGUUUUCUAGAUCAGCCAUCUUUGUCGUCAACAGUGCUAAACUGUCAAUUACUGAGACACCAAACUCUAACCCGAUUCAUAUGGAUGUAGACUAAAGCUUCUUGCCGAUACCAUCCCAGUCAAAGCUGCUAUCUUUGAAAGUUUCGCAAGACAAAACAACGUUGGUUUCCCAGUCGACACAAAUACAGAUUUCAUAUGUGCAGAUUGCUCUCAAUCUCUGUUUAAUAAGCUAGUCCUCUGCUGUAUCCUAGAAGGUGGAACAAUACAUUAUGCUUCCCAGCAGGCUCCAAUGGGAUCUAUAUAUGUUUCUGCUGCCAAAUUUUUGAAAGCGAUCAUUGUGAAUAUCGCUGCCCAGUCUGAAGUGGGCUUUGAUACUUGUGACAAUACUCCAUCGAGGCUGUAAAGAAGCCGUGGGUGUACAUUUCUGGUCCAACAAUCAAUCUAACUGGCUUACUUUACAGCAACAAAGAGAUAGAAAAUAUAUUAACUGCUUGUGCAGAAUAUGGAGCAAGAGCUUAUUUAGUGUCGUGUCAAAAUAAAUAUAACAAAGUUUAAGCUGAAUAUAAAUUGUUAAUUACAGGCAGAGCAAGUUGAGUUUAAAAAAUGCGAAGCACCCAGUCCCAAAACAGAGAAGCUUGACGUUGGCCGGCAGGAUUAAUAUUAUUUUUUUUAACAACAAUCAAAGCCAGUCGGGAAUUUAUUAAGAGGUUAAUUAGUUGAAGUAUAAAAAAGGAAUUAGCAGGAUUCACGCCCGACCAAAUCCACAUGGCCAAAGCAAAGGAUUAAGUUUGAGAGAUUAUAAUGAAAUAUAAGUAAGCUUCGCACAUGCAUGCGUCUGACUGACAGAACAAAUGAAGGAAACAUAAACUUAUCAUUUUUAAGAUGUAAGCAUCAAAACAUUCGACAAGUUUGAGGUUCGUGAGAUAUUGGGAAAAUAUACAAAUAAUAAAGCCACUACAAGUUAAGCAGAGCAAAUAAACAGAGGAAAUAACUGAUCAAUUUAGUUCUUUGUGCAAUGGCCACAGCAACAGAGAAAAUAUGCCUACACGACUACAUUAAUCCUACUGGCGUGGUACUAUCACCAUGCAAAUUAACAUUAACAUUUCAUCAUCAAUCAGUUCUGAUGACAUGAUAUCAAAAACAUUGAUUUCAUAAUUUUAUGUAAUUUCAUAUAAAAGAUAUAUAUAGUUUAUUUGAGUUAGUUUAAAAUAUGAAGAAAGAGUAAUGGGGAAUGAUAUCGCUGUAGCGUGUGAUGAGUAAUGAUAGACACCAAAUAUGGAUCAUGUAAUUAUGAUAUAUGUAUUUACUGAAACAUAUUUGGCAAUAAAAUGAUGCUUUAAAAAUUUAAUAUUGUUUGCUUGAAAAUAAUUUGACAAUUAAAAGUAAAAGAUGUAUAUGCAAAACUUUGACCUUAUUUUAUCACUUCACUAACCAUUUUGUAAGUACAUCUUAAAUCGAAGUUCAAUUAAUGCUGACGAAAGACUCCAGAGAAUGUCGAGAAGAGAUUUGAUUUUGGUAUACCAAAAAAUUACAGAUGAGAUAAGUUAAAAUCAAUUACAAGAACAACAAAAAGAAUAUAUUUUAUAAAAGCCACAAAUACAUAUAAUAUAUAAUCAGUUUCGAAUUAAGUAAUUAUUAACUUAUAUAGUGAGAAAGUGUUAUAGGAAAGUUGGAAUUUUUUAAAAGAGAUUUGCAAAGGAAAAAGUUUAGUUUAGUUUAGUUUGCGAAGGCUCAAGUAAUUCAAAGCAAUUAGCAAUGCAAUUGAAGGAAAUAUAAACUUCUAAUUUUUACAAAGUAAUCGCUAAAAUAUUUGACAAGUUUGAGAUUUUCAAAAAGCUGAAAAAAAUAGACAAAUAAUGGAGACCCUACAGAUUGGUAGCGCAAAUAAACGGAGGAAAAUAUGGCAAACAUUUAUUUUUUCCAAAAAGAAUAAAAGCACGUGUCUAAUUACCAAAUAACUUCACUUUAAAAAAUAAUAAAUGCUAAUAUCAUUGUUAGCACAUGUUGUGCAUUUUUCAUUUAUUUAUUUGCUAUUACUUAUUGAAGUUACUUUGCAAACUGCUCCAAGCAAACUACAAAAUUUCUUAUCACUCUAGGAUCUUUGCAAUGGUCCUGCAAUUUGCCUUCCUUUCUAUUAGGUUAGCUGUUUAUUCAAAAGAAAAAAAAUUGGGGAAAUGGAAACCUCACCCUCUUAAUACAGAUUUUGAAUUUUAUUAUUAUUAUUCAAAAUUAGAUAACUAUGCAAAUAAUGGGCGGUUAUAACCAGUGAAACUGUGUCUAGCUACGACGCAGGUUUAAUUUUCUCUUGAUUAAAUAUAUAAACAAAACUAAAUCACCUGAGCCUCUGGUUUCACUAUUUUUCAACUUGAAAUUAAAACGCAAAAAUUGAUGGUAUUGGAGUUCGUUGUUUAGUUUUGCUGUAGGUCAUGGGGAAUCAAAUAGCCAUCCAUUUUUAAGUCUAUUUUAUGUACUAUUGGUCACUAAGUAUUGGGAUGUCAUAGGCCCUAAAAGAAAAAGCUGAAAAUCAAUCCCCUAUCUAAAGUGGAAAACAGUAGCUAGAACAGAAUCUAUGGUUUGAUGUCUUAGUGUAUAGGCUUAAACAAUUAAUAGUAUAGAAAAUGCAUGAUAGAAUUCAUAUUUUAGCAAUAAUCCUCACCUCACUGGCCGUUAGUUCAGAAUGACAAUUCUUAUUAGUCAAAGAAUCAAGAUGAUUUUUAGUUGUAUAUGAAUAGCGCAGUAGAUCAACAAAUAAUUGAAGACUUGCUUUUGCUAUUGAACCACGCGAUGGCAAUUCGAAGACUACAGCUUAGCUCUGCCAUUCGAAGUAAGCAAAUCAGCUGCCCAAAGACUGCCAAGCCAUCAAGACAAUACCAAGAUACAACAUCAAGAAUUACAUACAGGCCGUCACAUAUUACAUUUCUCCUCUGUUUUAAGAGAGAUUUACGAGCCCAUGCAGUAGAAGUAAUUAAUUAAUUUAUACAGUUCAGUACUCAUUCCUCCUCUGUUUCAAAUCCAAAUCCACUGCUCUGCCAUUUAUUAUGACGCAGGGUAUAUGGGUUAGCAAGUGUCGAUAUUGUCCUUCAUCCUUUGUGUACCUUUCUUCUAACAAGGGACAGCACGAGAUCUCUAAUCACAAAAGAGAGGCAGGCAGGCCGUUCGCUGGAAAGUACUUGAGCUUGGGACAAUUACAGAGUUUCAAUGAAAUGAGGUUUUGAUGAUCAACAAUUGAAGAAGACAGGCGUUCCAAAUUUGGUAAAUCAACAAUCACCAAAUAUGCUAGAGUGGCAGGAAGAGGAAGCGUGGCUCCUAAUCCUAAUCUUGAUUUAGUAUUGCGUAUGUAACAUGUGGCAUUCUACAUUCUUGCAAUGCCAUUUCUUGUUAUGGCAGUAGCGUUCUUUCACCAUGGCAUCGCAAGCAAAUAUUUGACUUGAAGACUUGCUUUGCCAAGAAAAAUAAGGAGAGCAAAGGUAAUUGAUUUUGGUGUGAUGAAUAUUUUUAUGGGUGUUCUAAGAAAAAUAAAGAUAAUAGAAGUAAUGUUAUCGAGGAGUAUUUUGAUAUUUACAAAAGUGUUCAAAGAAAAAAGUGAUUUUUUGAAAUCUAUUUGCUGGUGAACAUAAUAAAAUGGCAUUCCGACUUCUGCGUAAAUUUAAAACUACAAAUAGUUUUACUCUUUUAAUAAUAUUCUUCAAUUAAUUCUGUUUCUUUCACAAUAAAAAAUCCAUCUCUUUAUUACUUUCUAACUAGUCAUACUAAUGUGUUAAUAAUGAAGAACCAGCGUAAUUUAUAUGAUAUAAGAAGCCCUUUAGCACAUUAACCCGAAUUUAGCUAAUGCAUGUGCCUAAUAUAGCGAAAUCAACAUUCGGCUCAUUAGAAUGCCAUUAUAUAUACUGAAAAAGAAAUUAAUACAAAAAAAAACUGAAUAUUAAUUGACACUGGAUCAUGUUGGAUUGUUAGUUGUUAAUUAUGAUGGGAAUACAAUUUUCAUCUUUUGAUUAUCCGCUAACUAAUGCAUGUGCACUUUCAUUUGUGUCUAUAUAUACAAAAACUUGUAUCCCAUGGUUUACAUAUGUAUGAAGAUAAUGUAAUAAAGUGCUUUUGAUAAAUUCCCCUGGUCUGUUUACUUCACUAAUUCAUUAAUGUGCAAGUCCUCUAUAGAGCUGUGUUGUGCGUACAAGUUUUGCUACAUGAAAUCGUUAGGUGAGGAGAAUUUUUAAAAGCAUACAUCAAAGUAAUGAUUAAAGGGACAAAAUCAACAUAAAUAUUGAUUAUCUUGAGUUAGAUUACACAAAGAUGAUAAUGUAGUAAAUUUAUCAUAAUACACUACUAAAAAAUGCAUUUUAAUGACACAAAUUUUAUGACAUACAUCUUUAUGUCAUGAAAAUACUUGCAUGAUGUAUAAUGCUUCUGUGAUUAUUUGAUGAUAAAUUCAUAAUUGAUGCAGAUACAAAAUGAAGUGAUGAUAGGUAAAUAUCAUGUGAUUUUUUUUAUGGGUAAGAAUAUUUGAACCCACCAAAUUACUCUUUAAACUUACUUUUUUAUUGAUAAUUUUAUUACAAAAUUACUGANNNNNNNNNNNNNNNNNNNNNNNNNNNNNNNNNNNNNNNNNNNNNNNNNNNNNNNNNNNNNNNNNNNNNNNNNNNNNNNNNNNNNNNNNNNNNNNNNNNNNNNNNNNNNNNNNNNNNNNNNNCCGCAAAACUCAAUCAAAGUAUGCUUAUUUUCUUCUUCUGCACAAGUGUAGCAAAGUUUUUAAUAAGUUCCUCCUUCAUCCACAGUUGAGAACUUUCUAACUUUUGUUUCUUGUUCUAGUAAUUUGGAUAUGCUGUGUUAGAUACUGAAUUUAUUAAAUUUCUUCUUCUCUUUUGAAUAAAAUCUCUUUAAAAUUCAAUCCAUAAAAAAAAAAUUAAUCUCCUUAUAAUUUAAUAUGUUUCGGCUGUCUUAGUGGAAUGAUGCAAUUUGUGUCAAUCAAAGUUUUGAAGCAUCCUAAAUUAUAUAUUUUUUUGUUUAAUUUGUUUAGAGUUCAAUUGUUUAGAUCUAGGCUAAUUUUUAUUGAUAAUAUUUAUGAUUAAAUUAUAUGAGUAUGCUUAAAUUUUUUUUUCCUUCAAAUUUAUUUUCUGAUGUUGCAUUUGGUUAGCAAAAAGAUAAAAAUAGUAGAAAAUGUCCGAAUUAUUGUUAUGAAAAUGUUGUUUUAGUCUGAUAUUGGGAAAAUAUCCUUAUACAUAUCGGCAUGAUAUUCAUGGGAGACCAAAUUGAGAAUGAUGGCAGACUAUGCAUUGCUCACAACUAAUUUAAAACUCACUAUUUCUAUUGUUUGUGUUUUAGUAACUUUGGGGGAAUUCCAACUAUAGUUAAUAAGCUAUAAACUUGUUUAGGAUUACUAAUCAACUUGCUAGAAAGAGUUGCAAACUAAUUAGCUUUCUCUUAUAACUUUUACAGAUCAUCUGUGGAGGAGAACUGCAAGGAGUUGAAGACUCUAGACCCUAAACUUCAUAUCUUGAUUUAUAAGUGCAAUGGCCAUAAGUCCGAAUUAUGGGCUGGAGAUGGUAUAUGUAAUCUUUCUGCUCUUGGUGUUUUUUUUUUUUUCCCCUCUAGUUAUUUUUUGCUCUCUACUCCAUUGUAUAUUUGUAUUCAAAAGUAUUUUUUUCUUUGUUUUAAGCUUUCAAAUUUAUGGAGAUGAUCUUAUUAGGUGUUAAAAAAAUAGUUGUAGAGCUUUACUAAAACUAUGUAAACUCUUAUUGAGAUUUGGGUUUGAUUUUGUAAGAUUGCUAAAAAUUUCAUAUUUUAUACUUGUUUUAUACUUUUCUAGUCGAAUUUCUUGCUUGUGGAAGAUAAAAUAAAAGUCCAAUUCAUGUUGUAAAAUUUUUUUUUCCUCCCUUUUUUCUUCCCUUAUAAUCUGGCUCUGGUUUUGGUGCAGUUUAUGGUUUCAAUGCAGGGAACCAAUUUCAUCAGAAUCAUCUUAAAGGAUCAAAGUGGCUUCCUUUUGUAACUGGGUAAGUCAAUGCUACUUCCUGAAUUCGAUUUGGAGUUCUUUCGGAAUAGAUUUCCUUCCCUUACAUCACUUGGCUUCUAGUUGCAUCUUCUUGGCUUUCUCCAACGGACUUUUUUAUUGGCAAAUUCGUUUGUUUCUAUUGUUUUCAAGUGCUAGUGCUGGAUUUGGAGGUAUGAAUGGUGCCUUCAUUUUUAUUUUUUUAAUUUUCUUUUGGGUGUAUAGUACUGUAAUAUACUUCUUUGUAUAGCUAGUACAAAAUAGUUCUUUAAUUUUAUUUGUCAUGAUUUAUUUCUAUUGCCUGGUGAUGACACCCAUCACGACUUAGUAGUCGUGAAUAAAUCGAAAAUCAAAUUGCACUGGUUUUUACCGGUUAUCAACAAUUGUGAUGUUUUGAGAUUAUAACAUACUUGACAACGCCGACUAGCGUUCUCUCCUAUGUGAAUUGGGACAAAAAUUAUUUUCCCAAUCACGCUUUCGUUUGAACAAUUCCACUUCAGAUAUAUAAAAUAAUGAUGAAAUUGUGUUUUAAAAUUAGUUACGAGUAAUUGGUUCAAUAUUAAUACAAAACUAUUUUAAGUAACACGUGGCAUAUUCUAAUUCCAGUGAGCUUCUAACUCAGAUUCCCAAAUCAAAAGAAACGUUUCAAUUUUCUCCAGAACGUUCUGCAAAACAUUUCUUCGAGUCUCUACGUUGUGCUAGAAUUUUCUCUCAGUUUCUUUUCCAUAGACUUCUAAAAAACUGUCCAGAUACCGAGAUAUAAUCCAAUCUAAGUGUACAUAUUGUAAGAAAAACGAUACACAGUGAGAUAACAAUUUAAAUAGUAGCUAAUUUAAACAACAAUGUAAACUAGCAAUGGGAAACAACAAAUGAAGAACUGAAGAGAAAGGAGACCAAAACAGAAAUAUAAACCCGAGGCCUGCGGACAGUUUCCUUAAACAUAUUUACCCCCUCUUGGAGUGCUUUAGGUCAGCUGGUAUCUGUUUCCCAGGAUACAACAGGCACGAAUUUUCGGCUAAGCACAGGCUAGAAAUUCUGGCGAACCACAACAACGAGCUCGAUCAGAGAAAACAGACGACGAAGAUGGAGGAAGGAAAAUAAGUGUGCUGGUUUUUUCAGUGUGCAAAAAAACAGAAGAGGAGAUGCCUUUUUAUAGUCAUAUGAGGAUGUAACAGCUACUUUGUAUUGAAUUUCUGAAUUCAAUAUAUUUUAUUUAAUUGUUAUAACAGCCAAAUCAAUUCAAUGAAUUGAUUUCAAAAUUGAAUUAAAAAAAACGUGAAUUAUAUAACAGCUAAAAAUAAUUGUUGAAGCUGUUACAAAUCCUUUGAAUUCAAACGUGAAACUGUUACAAUAAAAAAAAUUUUAAAAGGAAAUUAAAAACAUGCCAAGCUUGCAUGGAUGAUUUUGGGCUGACAUUCGCGUACGCAGACGAGUUCAACCAAAUUGGUCAUGGAUUUGCACCCCCCUGCACACGCGCACGUGGAGAGAGCCUCUAUCCUUAUAAUUCUUGAACAAGCAUGGUUAAGUGUUUAUAUAUAAACACUAAUCCCUAGGCUUCUUUUUCCCAUGUGGGAUAAGCCUAAUUUCUUUUCAAAUUUCCAACUUCAAAGGUGAACUUUGAGAGACAAUUUCUCAUUCACCCAAGCACCAUUUUGAGAAAAUAAGAUUAUACUUUUGAAGUAUCAAAGGAGUAGAAUCCGAACCUCACAAGAUUUUCCACUUUCGUUAAGUGGGACCCACUCAAAAUAUGCCCUCAAAAUAGCAUCUAUAUAUGCUAUUUUUUCAACAAUCCCCCACAUGAAUGAAAAUUGGCAGUAAAACAAAAAACCGCUAUAUUUUUUUUACAUCAAAACCAUUUUUGACCUUAAUGAUUGAGUUUAUUGGAUUGAUACCUAGCACAUGAUAGGUUGGUGUUAUCCUUUUAACCUUCCCUUGUAAUAGUAUAAUUACUUUACUGGCUGAUCAGUAGACGCGAUGUCUUUGAACUGUGCGGCCGUUAGUGUAAACGAUCAUAUACUACACAUAGGUAUUUCUCCUAACACUGUUGAGUUCUCAUGGUUAUGUUCGUUUUGGCCUUGAACAUCUACCUGGUUCUGCAAGAGUUUCUAAGAGCUAAACCCAUCAUAGCUCCCUUUGAAGCGGCCCCACUUCUCUCUCACAUAGGUGAUAUCUUAAUUAAAAGUAACCCGCAUUACUCCGCUCGAAUUUUCCGACGCAUAAGAAUCAUUAAGAGCCUAGCUCAACCUUAUUCCCCACGAGCAUCAUUGUUUCAUAAUAUGAAUGGUCAAUGAGGUAAUCUUCUCAAGAGAAUAAACCCCACAAUAAUCCAACUUUAGUCUUUAACAAAUAGGUUGUUCAAUUGAACCUAGAUCUUGGGAUCUCCAGUCUACUAGGUUGGGUUUUCCUUCGUUAUUGACUAAUCAAUCUAUGAGUUUUAAUCCCAUUCCCCUCGAUGAUUUUUCUACUAGCUCUCUAUUUAACCCUUUGGUUAGCGAAUCCGCAAUGUUAUCCUUUGACCUCACAUAGUCAAUAGAAAUAACUCCAGUAGAAAUAAGUUGUCUAAUGGUAUUAUGUCUAUGACGUAUGUGUCUAGACUUACCAUUAUACAUAUUGCUUUGUGCCCUACCGAUAGCUGAUUGACUAUCACAAUGUAUACAAAUCGAAGGCACAUGCUUUGGCCACUUUGGAAUACCUUUUAAAAAAUUGCGUAGCCAUUCUGCUUCUUCACCACAUUUAUCUAAUGCAAUGAAUUCAGAUUCCAUUGUAGAUCUAGCAAUUACUGUCUGUUUAGAAGAUCUCCAUGAUACAGCUGCACCUGCUAGUGUAAAUACAUAGCCGCUAGUGGAUUUUGAAUCUUUUACAUCUGAUAUCCAGUUAGCAUCACUAAAUCCUUCUAAUACUUCUGGAUACCUAGUAUAGUGCAGUCCAUAAUUACGAGUGUAUCGAAGAUACCUAAGUACUCUUACGAUAGCUUUCCAGUGAUCAGUUCCUGGAUUACUCGUAUAUCUACUAAGUUUACUUACCGUAUAGGCUAGAUCUGGUCUGGUACAACUUGUUAAGUACAUCGGACUGUCUAUUAUUCUAGCAUAUUCUACUUGAGAAAAACCCUCUUCUCUAUUUUUCGAUAAAUGGAUACUAGUAUCUAAUGGAGUUUUAGACAUAAUAUUAUCAUUUUUAUUAAAUUUUCCAAGAAUUUUAUCUACAUAAUGAUUUUGACUUAGAAUAAGUCCAUUAGAAGCCCUUCAGAUUUUAAUUUCCAAAAUGACAUUUGCAAGACUCAUGUCUUUCAUGUCAAACUUAGACUUCAACAUAUUCUUGGUAGAUUUAAUCAUGUCAUCAUCACUUCCAACAAUGAGCAUGUCAUCAACAUAUAAACAUAAAAUGACAUAGCCAUUUUCCGUUUCUUUGACAUAAACACAUUUGUCACACUCGUUGAUUUUAAAACCACUUGUGAUCAUCAUAUGAUCAAAUUUCUCAUGCCACUGUUUCGGUGCUUGCUGCAAGCCAUAUAAUGACUUUACCAAUUUACAAACUUUCUUUUCUUGUCCUGGAGCUAUAAAACCUUCAAGUUGCUCCAUAUAGAUUUCUUCAUCUAAAUCUCCAUUUAGAAAAGCCGUCUUUACAUCUAUUUGAUGUAUCUCGAGAUUGCGCAAAGCUGCAAUUGCUAUUAUCAUCCGUAUGGAAUUUAUUCUCAUAACAGGAGAAUAAGUAUCAAAGUAAUCAAGGCCUUCUCGUUGCCUAUUACCUUUAAUUACAAGCCUAUCCUUGUAUUUAUUGAUUUAUCCAUCAGCUUUCAUUUUCCUUUUGAAAAUUCACUUAUACCCCAAAGGUUUACAUUCUGGAGGAAGAUCUGCUAGCUCCCAAGUAUGAUUUUGUAAAAUGGAUUCAACUUCACUGUUAAUGGCUUCUUUCCAUAAAGUGCCUUCAGCUGAAGUUACAACCUCUUUGAAGCUUUGAGGUUCACUUUCUAGCAAAUACGUCAGAAAGUCUAGACCAAAAGACUUUUCUAUCCUAGCUGUUUUGCUACGUCUAACCUCAAUUUCUUGUUCUUGAUCUUCUUCUUCUUCUUCUUCUGGUGCUUCAUCAUUUUCUUCAUUUCCAAGUGUUGUUUCAUGAAAUUGUCGCAAUUCUCUCGAUUCCACUCUAGAAUUGCAAGGAAACACAUGUUCGAAUGAUGCAUUUCUUGAUUCUAUUAUCAUAUUUUUGUGGACAUCUGGAACUUUAGACUUAUGUAACAAAAAUCGAUAAGCACUACUGUUUUGUACAUAACCAAUGAAAAUGCAGUCAACAGUUUUUGGUCCUAUUUUCACUUUUUUAUUGAAGGAACCACUACUUUAGUAAGACACCCCCACACUCGUAAGAAUUUAUAUGAAGGUGAUCUAUUUUUCUAUAGCUCAUACAGGGUUUUAUCUUCUUGCUUUCAGGGUAUCUUAUUUAAUAAAUAAUUAGCUGACAAAACAGCUUCUCCCCACAUAUUCUGGGGUAACCCAGAACUUAUCAACAUUGCAUUCAUCAUUUCCUUUAAAGUUCGAUUCUUUCGUUCUGCAAUCCCAUUAGAUUGAGGUGAAUAUGGAGUCGUGACUUGAUGUAUGAUUCCAUUUUGUUCACAUAGUGACAUAAACAUAACAACAUACUCACCACCACGGUCACUCCUUAAUUCUUUGAUUUUUCUAUUAAGUUGAUUCUCAACUUCAUUUUUGUCGAGAAUAAACUUUUUCAAAGCUUUAUCUUUACUUUUCAAUAAAUAUACAUAGCAAUAUUUUGUGCAAUCAUCUAUAAAGGUAAUAAAAUAUUUAUUAUCACCUCUUGUUUGAAUGGAUUUAAAGUGACAAAUAUCAAUAUGUAUUAAAUCAAGUGGUUCGGUGUUUCUGUUAAUUAUUUGGAAAGAUGACCUAGUUAGUUUUGCCUCAACACAAGUUUCACACUUAUGUUUCAAAUCAAUUUGGAAAUUGGGAAUAUGCUUCAUGUUAAUUAAUUUACGCAAAGAUUUAAAAUUAACAUGUCCUAAUCUACCAUGCCAAAGAUUAGAAGACUCAAGCAAAUAAGCAGAAGAAGUAGCUUUAUUAUUAAUUAUUGGUUUCAGAGUCAUUACAUUGAGCUUAAAUAGCCCAUCAUUAACAUAACUCUUUCCCACAUACAUCCCAUUUUUAGACAAAACUACCCUAUCUGACUCAAACACCAUUUGGAAGCCAUGUUUGUUCAACAGCGAUCCAGACACCAAGUUCUUCUGAAUUUCUGGCACAUAAAACACAUUGUUCAGAGUCAGUUCUUUCCCAGACGUCAUCUUCAAAAUCACCUUCCCUUGACCAUCAAUCUCAGACGUAGCCGAAUUCCCCAUGAAUAGCUUCUCUCCAUUGCUAACUGCUUCAACUGAAGUGAACAAUCCUUUGUCCGAGCAAACAUGUCUGGUUGCUCCCGUAUCAAUCCAUCAUUCUCUCGGAUUAUAGCCAACCAGAUUCACUUCUGAAACCACUGUAGAGAGGUUUAUGUCUGAAACAUGUUGAGUGAUGUUUUCCAUCACAUUCUCCUCUCGCUUCUUUUUAGGCAACCUGCAAUAUGAAGCAUUGUGACCCAUCUUAUCACAAUUAAAACAUUUUCCUUGAAACUUUGUUUACUUCUUGGAAAUUCCUCCUUUCGGACCCAUUUUUUUAUUUUUAUUUUUAGGUCCAUGUUCGACAAAAUUUGCCUUUGCCAUAGAAAUAACUCCUUUUCUUUUUGCAUUUCUGUUAUCUCCCUCAAUUCUGAACUUAACAACCAGCCCUUCAAUAUUCAUCUCCUUUCAUUUGUGCUUCAAAUAGCUCUUGAAAUCUUUCUAAGCAGGAGGCAAUUUUUCAAUAAUUGCGGCAACUUGAAAAGUUUCACUUAGAUGCAUCCUUUCUGCAAGGAUUUCAGAUAAUAUAAUUUGAAGCUCUUGUACUUGACUUAUUAUAGUUUUAGAAUCCACCAUUUUAUAAUCUAGGAAGCGACCAACAACAAACUUUUUGGUUCCCGCAUCCUCGGUUUUAUAUUUCCGGUCAAAGGAUACCCAUAACUCCUUGGCUGUUUUCUUUCCUAUGUAUACAUUAUACAAGGAAUCACUAAGGCCAUUCAUUACAUAAUUUUUACAUAAAAAAUCUUAAUGAUGCCAUGCAUCAAUUGCACUUGCAACUUGAAUAUCCGUUUCACCCUCUUUAGGUUUAGGAGCAUUCUCGAUUAAGAAACUUGCAAGGUUCAACAUGGUCAAGUAAAAGAAUAUCUUUUGCUGCCAACGUUUGAAAUUCUGGCCAUUGAAUUUUUCAGGCCCUUCCGCAUGAUUGACAGGAAUUGCCACAGAGGCUGGUUCCUUUACAACAGUUGGUGCAGCAACAGAAGAUGAAACUGGGACAUACGGAAUAUCAUCAAUGGUUUCAGUUGCCAUCUCAAUGAUAAUUGAUUCUGUUUUAAGAUUGUAAAAAAAAUGAUACACAGUGAGAUAAUAAUUUAAAUAGUAGCUAAUUUAAACAACAAUGUAAACUAGCAAUGGGAAACAACAAAUGAAGAACAGAAGAGAAAGGAAACCGAAACAGAAACAGAAACAUAAACCUGAGCCCUGCAGACAGUUUCCUUAAAACAGAUUUACCACUCUUGGAGUGCUUUAGGUCAGCUGGUAUCUGUUUCCCAGAAUACAACGGGCACGAAUUUCCGGCUAAGCACAGGCUGAAAAUUCCGGCGAACCACAACAGCGAGCUCAAUCAGAGAAAACAGACGAUGAAGAUAGAGGAAGGAAAACAAGUGUGCUGGUUUUUUCAGUGUGCAAAAAACAGAAGAGGAGGUGCCUUUUUAUAGUCAUAUGAGGAUGUAACAGCUGCUUUGUAUUAGAUUUCCGAAUUCAAUAUGUUUUACUUAAUUGUUAUAACAACCAAAUCAAUUCAUUGAAUUGAUUUUAAAAUUGAAUUAAAAAAACAUGAAUUAUAUAACAGCUAAAAAUAAUUGUUGAAGCUGUUACAAAUCCUUUGAAUUCAAAACGUGAAUCUAUUACAAUAAAAAAAUUCAAAAGGAAAUUAAAAACGUGCCAAGCUUGCAUGGAUGAUUUUGGGCUGACAUUCGCGUACGCAGACGAGUUCAACCAAAUCGGUCUUGGACUUGCACCCCCCCUGCACACGCACGUGUGGAGAGAGCCUCUAUCCUUAUAAUUCUUGAACAAGCAUGGUUAAGUGUUUAUAUAUAAAUACUAAUCCCUAGGCUUCUUUUUCCCAUGUGGGAUAGGCCUCAUUUCCCUUCAAAUUUCCAACUUCAAAGGUGAACUUUGAGAGACAAUUUCUCAUUCACCCAAGCACCAUUUUGAGAAAAUAAGAUUAUACUUUUGAAGUAUCAAUGGAGUAGAAUCCGAACCUCACAAGAUUUUCCACUUUCGUUAAGUGGGACCCACUCAAAAUAUGCCCUCAAAAUAGCAUAUAUACAUGCUAUUUUCCACUUUCGUUAAGUGGGACCCACUCAAAAUGUGCCCUCAAAAUAGCAUAUAUACAUGCUAUUUUUUCAACACAUAUCUCUCUAUGUCACCUCCCUCCAUUUCACCAGAAAAUCAACAAACACUUAGCUUCAAAACAAACACUCUAAAAAAGCUAGCUAGUUGAUGGCAAAAUCAAGAAUUCUUGCAAUGGCAAUGUUGUUUCUUGUUAUGGCAGCAACAUUGAUGAACAUGGCAUCAAAGCAAAUGCUCUGAUGCUGUACACACGAUCACCUUUCUUUGACGUAAUGUUCCCAAUGACGGAAGAUCCUUUCAGGGUUCUUGGACAAACCCUGUUAACAAUCCCAAAAGGAGCUGAACAUCAUCAAACUCUAGCACUGGCGAGAGCAAACUGAAAUGAGACACCAACAUCACACGUGAUCACACUCGACAUUCCAAGGAUGAAGAAAGACGAUGCGAAGAUAGCAGUUGAAGAGAACAGGGUACUGAGGGUGAGUGGGGAGAGGAAGAGCGAUGAUUAUUAUAAGGAGGAAGUUGAAGGAGAAAAAUGGCACAGAGUUGAGAGACCAUUUGGCAAGGUUUGGAGGCAGUUCAGGAUGCCUAUGAGUGCUGACUUGGAUCAUGUUAAGGCUCAUUUGGAAAAUGGUGUUCUAAGGAUCACAGUGCCAAAACUUGUUGAGGAGAAGAAGAGGCCGCCUAAGGUUAUUAACAUUGAUGAAGAGCCUGGUAAUUCUUCCGAUGAAGAUGUUAAGGCCGCCAAGGCUCAAAUGUAAUUGAUUAAAGAAAGAAGUGUUUGAUUUGCUUGAUGUGCUAUUUGUUUUGUGAUCUUUUCUUGGUUUUGUUGUGGGAUGUUUUUCUUUGGAUGUUCUGUUUAUUGUAUUUUGAUGGAUUUUUAAAGAUGGCUUUUAUGUAUUAACAACAAUAAAGUGUUUUUUAUAAAUCCGGGUCCUAAAUUUGUAAAAGAAAUUAAUAAUACUCUUGGUUUAUUGUUAAUAAAAAUAAAAAAGAAGAAUCUUUUUCUUUAGCAUAUAUUAUGCAUUUUAAGGAAAAAAAAAAUUAUCACAUUCUAAUACAUAAAGAUAUUCCUCUUCUGUCAUAUUAAUGUGUUAAUACGAAGGUCUAUUGGAAUUAUAAUAGUUUAGAUGAAUCCAAAAUAUUCAAUAAUUGAUAAAUAGUAUAUUGACACACAGAAAAUGUGCGUGUGUAUGUAUAUAAAUGAGGUUUCAACAGCUGAGAAAGAGAUAGCCAUUAUACAUUACACAUUUGCACUCAAUAAGAAAUCAAUUCAUUAAUAUAGCCAUUAAUACGCCUGGUUUAUUGUUAAUGAAAAUUAAAAAAGAAAAAAAGUCUUUUCUUUGGCCUUUAUUAUGCAUUUUAAGAGGAAAAAAAAUUUAUCCCACUCCAAUUCAUGAAGAUAUUCUCUUUUCUGUCAUAUUGAUGUGUUAAUAUGAAGAUCCAUUGCAGUUGGUGAAUUCAAAUAUUCAGUAACUGAUGAAAUUGUAUUUAUAAAUUCAUACUAAUAGCAAUUGAAGAUUAUAAUUAAUUUUGUAAUAUGGUCUAGCCCUCCUGUGUUUAAUUAGCACUCAAAAACCACUUUACAAUAGGGCAUUAAAAGAACAUUAUAACGUCAUUGCUGAUGAGUUCUGGCGAAGACAUUAAGUUAAGGCCACAAAAAUCGAAAUGCACGUAGCUUCGUUUGUUUUUUAUUUUUGAUUCUCUUUGGGGGCAAAUGCUUGGCUUCGUUUGCUUUUUCGUUUUUGAUAUUUUAUUGGGCUUUAUUGUGUGGCAUCUUCUUGUUUUCUUUUGAUUUUCUGUUUUGGUUGUUAUGGGAUUUGAUGACGACGUACAUGUACGAAGAUUAUAUAAUAAAAUGUUUUUGAUAAAUUAUGGUCGGUUUAGAAUUAAUUAACUAAAUUUAAUUUACUUGAUCAAUUGAUAUUUGUAAGCAUUGUUGUUAUACAAACACAACAAAAGAAGAACAUUAAUGUACUAAUUAAUUACUAAUAAGAACAUUAAUAACUUUUGCCGAAGAAGAGAAAUAUUACACAUAUGUAACCGUGCAGCAUAUGUAACCGUGCAGCUAAAUAAAAGAAACUGAAGUUUAUUUCAACAGCUAAAGAAUGAGAUACGCAUAAGAAAUUAAUCCAUUAAUUAAUUAAUUAAUUCAUAGUCCCCCGCUGCUAAAAUAAAGCGAGCGUCUUACUCUACCUAACAUUUUUCCUUUUAUUAAUUUAAAAUAGUUUUCAACUGAGAUUUGAAUUUUAAAAUUACACGCUUGAUUUAGAAGAAAAAAAAGUCAAAUAUAUGUAACCGUACCGCGGAAAAGACAAAUAUAAGAAACUGAAGUUUCAACAGCUGAGAAUGAGAAAUUAAUUCAUUAAUUAAUUAAUAGAGUCCUCCUUUGCUAAAUAAUGCGAACCCAUUGUUCUUUUUAUUUCCAAAACCCAUUAAUCACCAACACAUAAUACACGCCCAAUUUAAAAAAAAAACUAAUAAUAAAAUAUUUCAGUCUUCCUUUGUUGAGUCGUCAUUAAAAACCCAUUUACCAGCUAUUCGAGCAUAAGGUAUAUGGGUUAACAAGUCCCAAUAUUGUCCUCCAUCCUUUCUGCACUUCUCUUCUAUCAACGGACAGCGAUAGAUUCUUAAUUGCAAAAGUGAGGAAGGCAGGCCCUUCUCCGGAAAGUAUUUGAGCUUGGGACAAUCAUAGAGUGUCAAUUUAGUGAGGUUUUGAAGAUCAACAAUUGAAGAAGAUAGGCUUUCCAGAUUUGGAAAAAAGGCAAUGCUCAGAGAUGUUAGAGAGGCAGGAAGAGGAAGCGUGGUCCCCAGUCUUCUGUCCUCUGGCUCUGGUGGAAAUGACACCAUGUCGUCAUCGCAUCCUCUGAUUAAAAGAUAUCGCAGAGAGGAGAAUCUGUGAAAUCCCCGGCCCCGCUCAAUCAUUGACUUCCAAAUCCCCAUAUUACCCUCAAUCCUCAGUGAAUGAAGGUUGGUGGGAAGGCCAUCUUCUUCAAGGCUUGGAAGCUCACCUCCUAUUAUUGUUAAUUGUUGAAGAGAGGUCAGAUUGUGCAAUCCCUUGGGUAAGGCCUCUAGUCUCUUACAAUCAUAUAUCUCCAGCCUCCUGAGUUUCGCACAAGGCAAUCCCCCUUUGGGAAAGGACUCCAGAUUUCCACAACCCCCAAUACCAAUCUGUUGAAGCUGGCACAGAUUAUGUAAACCACUCGAUAAAAUUUUCAGAUUUUCACAGUUAGAAAUGUUGAUUGUUUCAAGAGAUGUGUUGUUGUCCAACCUUUCUGCUAUUGACUGCAGCUUUGGACAUCCAUAAACAUCAAGUACCUUAACGGACGGAGGUAGAUUGCCAACUUCAAGGGACUCAAGCGUGGCAGGUAACUCGUUUUUUGAAAAUAUACAUGUCAGAGACGGACAACUGGAAAUUGCUAAGUUCUCAAGAAGAGAUGAGGUGUACCUUCUGCUGCUGCUACUCUGGAUGCCCUCUUCCACUGUCAAAGUCCUUAUUUUAUUGCACCUCUGGAUGUCCAACCUCUUAAGGCUCAGUGGUAGCUGGACUUCAGCAAUAUAUGUCAACGAAUGGCAAUCCCAAAUUUUCAAGAUCUCGAGAGAUGAACUAGUGUCGCACAUCCAUGGCUCUGGUAACGAUUUCAGUGCAUCACAUUCUCUAAUCUCAAUUUUCUUCAACUUGGAAGGCAGAGCAACCUCAGGAAAGGAAACAAGGGAACUGCACUUGUAGAUUUCUAUCUCUUUCAAGGAACUAAGGCUGAGAGAUGAUUGUGGCAGCUUCACAAGGCCUUCGCAAUAUCUCAAUCUUAGAUAUUCGAGUCUGCAUGACAACUCGCAGAGCUGCUGUUGUUGGUCUUUCUCUUCCUCCGCCACCAAGGAUUGAAGUUUGGGACACCCUCUUAUCUCCAGACUUUUGAGAGAGCAAAUGUCUUGUAGUAAUCCGUCAUGACUCUUCCAUAUAUAUGUUUGCUCUUUUGUCGACAAAAUUAAUUCUUCCAAUUUCGGUAGUUGUGGCUUCAACGGCCCCGCAAGAAACACUUGAUUUGAUGUAUCUCUACAAACCACUGAAUUCUGUGAUCCGAGAUGACCAGUUGCACUUUCCCACACAACCUUUUUGCAUCCACCAAUUAAGAAUUUGCAAAGAGUUGGAAGACUCAAAACUGAAACUAACAAUUCUUCACAUCCUUCAAUAACAAGCAUCUCUAAUACAGGAAGGUGUUCUGGAAAUGUUCCUCGCAGUUUAGGACAUUCUAAAAUGUGAAGCUCUCUCAAUUUAGGAAACCCUUCAACCCCUUGACCGGAUCCAUGAGAAAUCCAGACUUCCCAUUCUUGCAGGUCUUCAAAACGAAGAGUCUCCAAGCAUGGAAAUGGAAUUGGAGAGUCAUCCCCAUAGAACUCUGAACCCAAUCUCUUUACUCUACUCACUCCACGCACUGUAAGAUGCUUUAGAGAGGGCAGUUGCCCGACAGACGGCAGGGCAGUACACAUGCCGCAAUCUUCAAAUUCAAGUGUUACUAAAUUUGAGAAUAAGGAAUCUCCUAACCAUGUUGGAAAUUUUGUACCUCCAUAGCCACAGAUACCAAAUUGUUCCAGAUUUUUAUGGGGUUUGAGCAUGUCAAGCACACCCAUUUCAGUUUCUGCCUCCCUUGAAGAUGAACCAUCGGUACUGCGUGUCCAUCGAAGCAAUAAUUCUUUAAGAUUCUUCUUUCCAUCCAACCGAGCCUCCUUCGCAUUACCAACGUCUUUUACGUUCUCCAAUUUUGAAAUUUCAAGUGCCCCACGAAGAUGCAUCAACAACUUUAGCUCUGAUAACCCCGAACCACUGUCUUUUCCCACAACAAAAUUACACAACGUCUGAAGACAAGUCAACUUGCCAAUUCCUAGUGGCGUUUCCUCCAACGAAUCUGUAUUUGAAUUAUUGAGAUGAUGCAAUUUGAUGAGAUUUCCCAUGUCUGCACACAACUUCUUCAGCCGAUCACAAUCUUCCAACAAAAGACUAUGCAAAUUGUAAAGCUUGUUGACUGAUUCAGGCAGAGUUCUAAUAUUAGUUCCAGACAGGUUAAGGUACCUUCAAUACCUCAAAUCACCAACUGAAUCUGGUAGCUCGGAGAUGUGAUAUCCACGCAAAGAGAAGACCCUCAAGCGUUGGAGUUUGAGCAACUUAGGAAGAAUGCUAGGAGCCAAGUAGCCAGGCGAACUCUCUGUCAACAUUACUGGUAAAAAAGUUCUCAAAUGUUGGAUAUCAUACAAGUCCCCAAACCUUUUACCGCCAACAUAAUAUUCAGGAAUAUAUGACAGAUGACGAAGAUAUCGGGAAAAACUUUGUUGCUUGUUAACCUCAGAGGUAUACUCCAUUGUGAAGUAUAUUUCCCCUGCAGCCCAAUGCGCAAGGUCGUUGAUAAGAUCGUGCAUCACAAAUCGUGAUGCAUCGUUGCUUGAUUGCUGGAAAAAGGAUCUUGAAUGUAGCUCCUUAAAGAUUUCAAGACCUAAAUCUUCACCAGUUUUCUCACGCUCUUUGCGAUCCAAGAAGCCCGAGGCACACCAUAACAAAAUUAUCUCCCCCUCUUCAAAUUCAUAAUCCUUUGGAAACAAUGAGCAAUACGCAAAGCAUUGUUUCAAAGGUGCCGAAAGAUAAUAGUAGCUCACUCUAAGCGCCGGCAUAAUGUCACAUCUCUCUUCUUGCAAUUCCCAUAUCUUGGUACUGAGCACUCUCUCCCAAUCACAUCUGUCAUCUUUUCCUCGCAAAAGUCCUCCAAGUGUUUGCGCUGCCAAGGGCAAGCCAUCGCAUUUGGCCACUAUCUUCUUGCCAAUUUCCUCCAAUAAGUUAUCUGACCCCAAAGAAUGUUGAGCAAAUACAGCUAGACAAUCAUCAAUUGACAACUUUUUUAAUUGAUAAGCUGAGGCAGUUCCCAUGAUGUCUGCAACCUCUUGAUUACGAGUUGUGACAAUAAUCUUACUUCCCUUCGCUCCAGCUUCAAACGGACGGCUGAGGCGAACCCAAUCAUUGUAAUUCUCAUUCCAAACGUCGUCUAAAACAAGCAAAAAUUUCUUUUGAGAUAACUUCUUCUUCAGCUCCUCUUGAAGCAAAUUUAAAUCACUGUCAUCAAUAGUCUGCUUGGUAACGGAUCUUAGAAUUGUUUUUGUUAGCCCCUUAACGUCGAAAUCCUCAGAGACACAAGUCCAUGCCUUGAGAUCAAAAUGAUCCCGCACUUGCUUAUCAUUGUAGACAAGCUGAGCAAGAGUAGUUUUGCCCAGCCCGCCCAUACCUAUAAUAGGAAUAACUGCGAAUCCACCAUCGUUGCUUAAAUCAUCCCUCAACAGCAGUUCAACAACAUCCUUCUUUUCUGUUUCCCUGCCAUAUACUUUGGCUUCAGUCACUAAAGAGGUUGUCUCUAGCCUUUGACUGGCUUUUUUGGACCCUCCAGCUGAACUUUCUUUCAAAUCUAGCAAGUUUUUCUGUGUCACAAUUUCUUGAAAUCUGCUGUUGAUCUCUUUGAUUUUGGACAUCAAGCCAUAAUCGAACUGAAUCGAUUGUGGAGUAAAAGUGGUGCAGCAAGUAGGAAUGAGCUUCCGAAACUUACUUGUUCUUGUACGACUGCUACUGGGUUGAUCAUGAGCAGCAGCUGGUUCUCCAUUCCCAAGCAGCAACCUCCUCCGGAAAGCCUCAGUUUGAAACUCAUCCAACAAGUCUUCAACAUCGUAAGCCAAGUUCUGAAGCUUGCCAAGCCACUUCUUCACAAACUGAUUAGUCGUCUUCUUCUCCUCAGCAUCAUCAAGCACCGCCUUGAUCAUCUCCAACAUAUUCUCCCACUUCAUUAGAUCGUCUUGGAUCUUCUCUUGGCGUGCAAAAAACAGAAUCCCCUCUGAAGCUAACUUAUUGACCAGCAAAUCAACGGACGCCGUAAGGAUUGCCUCUCCGAUGAUCGACAUUUUUUUUUCUUUUUUUGGGCAAAGGAAGAAAGGAGCAGAAUUAUGGGUUAUGGAAAGCAGAAUGAGAAUAUUGAACGGGUGAGAAAAUGGAUAAUUAAGCGGAAUGAGUUUGUGAUUGUGAAGGGUCUGGUUCAGCAAGCUUAGUAGAAAUCACGCGUUUGUACUUUAUUGACCAAUGACUAAAUAAUUUGGCAAUGCACCCACCACCACCAGUUGGCGAGCAAAAUGAAAAAGUUUAAUAAGUGCAGGGGUCGAGCAAAAUACGACGUAAAAUGUGGCAAGUCUCCCCACUUGUUGUUCCUUGCAGCUAAGAAAAGAAAAAACAGAGCCCACCACCCAUUAAUAAUUUAGCAAUUCACCAAUCAUCACAAAAUUCCAUUAGAUAUUCGUCGAUCAAGUAGUUAAGUAUUUUUGCUAGAAUGAAUGCAACCAAGAUUCUAUGGGAUAUGUAUGAAGAUGAUGUAAUAAAGUGCUUUUGAUAUAUUCCCCUAGUCGGUUUACUUCACUAACCAUUAACGAGCAAAUCCUCCCAAUGACCCUCAAUACUCUUGUGCACAAUUAAAAUAAUUUCAAUUAUAUAUAUAUAUAAAUAAAAAAACUCUCAAAUAUAUUAUUUGAUAAUCACCAAAAAAAAAAAAAUUCACCCCAAUAAAUCACAUUACAGUCUAUGUUGCAAGUGUUUUUAGGACUAAUUCAAAGAGAAAAUGCGAAGGACAUGUAAUUGAAUUUGGGACACUGAAUAUAUUCCCAAUUACCCUUUAGUGUAAAUAGUUCCACUUCAGAUAUAUAUAAUGAUGAUGAAAUUUUGUUUUCUCAUAGCAAUCAUUCUAGUGUUUUACAAUGAGUAAUUGAUUCAAUAUUAACACAACACUAUUUUAACAUGUGACAUAUUCUAUCAUAGUGUGCUUCAACUCAGACUUCUAAGUUUCCAUUUUAGAACAAGUUAAAACAGUUCCAACUCAAAAUCAGUAGUGCGCAAUUGGGUUGUUAUAAAUAUUUCUAAAUUUUAGUCUAAUUUGAAUUAUUUAAUUGUGUUUGUACAAACUAGCUUUAUCACUUCUUUUAUAUUGAUACCCUUAAAUUUCAACCUUAUUUUAUGUUGAUGCACAAUCUAACUUAACAAAAAUAAUAUUCAAAUUGUCACAAUUUUUUUUUUUAAAAAAAAUAUACAAAGUUAAUUUUUCUUCUUCUUUACUCUAGGAUCCAGCUCCAUACCCCUCUUUUUUGUCGUUAUGCUACUCAGCCGUUAGAUUUUAAUUACGUUAAUCUAAUGGUUGGGAUUUGCAAAUGAAUAAUGAAGUGGUGUUCGGCUACUAUCCGAGGCCAUUGCAUCUAAUUGGUUUUGUGAUUUUUCACUUUCUUCCCUGUAACACUUGACUAGUUCUGGAAAUUGCUUUUUGGCAUGCUAAUUGUUGUGAAAAUUUUAAUAUACUCGCAAGCGCACGAAUCUAGAAAUAAAAUAGUGGUAACGAGGUCGAUCCCACAGGGAUUGGCACCCAUCACGCCUUUAGUUGUCGUGAAUAAAUCGAAAAUCAAAUUGAACUGGUUUUUACCGGGUAGCAACAAUCGUGACGUUUUGAGAUUAUAAUAUAUGACAACACUGAUUAGUGUUGUCUCCCAUGUGAAUUGAGACAAAAAUGAUUUUCCCAAUUGCGCUUUCAUUUGAACAAUUCCACUGUAGAUUUAUAAAAUAAUCACGAAAUUGUGUUUUAUAAUAAGUUACGAGUAAUUGGUUCAAUAUUAAUACAAAACUACUUUAAGUAACACGUGGCAUAUUCUAAUUCUAGCAAAGUUUCCAACUAAGAUUCCCAAAUCAAAAGAAUUUCAAUCUCCAGAACAUUCUACAAAAUGUUUCUUCUAGCCUCUACGUUGUGCUAGAAUUUUCUCUUGAGUUUUUUAGCAAAGACUUCUAAAGAACUAUCCAGAUAUCGAGCUAUAAUCCAGUCAAAGUGUAUAUAUUUCUCUAAUUCACCUCCCUCCAUUUCACCAGAAAACCAACAAACACUUAGCUUCAAACAAACACUUUCAAAUAGCUAGCUAGCUACCCAGAUGGCAAAAUCAAGAAUUCUUGCAAUGACAAUGUUGUUUCUUGUUGUGGCGGCAACAUUGAUGAACAUGGCAUCACAAGCAAAUGCUCUGAUGCCGUACACACGAUCACCUUUCUUUGACAUGAUGUUCCGAAUGACGAAAGAGCCUUUCAGGGUUCUUGAACAAACCCCUUUAACAAUCGCAAAAGGAGCUGAUCAUCAUCAAACUCUAGCCCUGGCGAGAGCAGACUAGAAGGAGAGUGGAUGGAGCCUUUACUUUCUAUUAUAUUUGUAAAGCGUGCCACAACACACGUGAUCACACUCGACAUUCUCGGAAUUAAGAAAGAUGAUGUGAAGAUUGAAGUUGAAUAGAACAGGGUAUUGAGAGUAAGUGGGCAGAGGAAGGCUGAUGAUUAUUAUAAGGAGAGGGUUGAAGGAGAGAAAUGGCACAGAGCUAAGAGAGCAUUUGGCAAGUUUUGGAGGCAGUUUAGGAUGCCAAUGAGUGCUUGACUUGGAUCAUAUUAAGGCUCACUGAGUGCCAAAGCUUGCUGAGGAGAUGAAGAGGCAGCCGAAGGCUAUUAACAUUGAUGAAGAGUCUGGUAAUUCUUCCAAUGAAGAUAUUAAGGCUACCAAGGCUCAAAUGUAAUUGAUUAAAGAAAGAAGUGAUUGCUUUGCUUGAUGUGCUAUUUGUUUAUGAUCUUUUUUUGGUUUUGUUGUGAGAUGUUUCUCUAUGGACGCUUUGUUUAAUGUAUUUUGAUGGGUUUUUUAGGAUGGCUUGUAUGUAUUGACAACAAUAAAGUGCUUUUUAUAAAUCCUAGUCCUACAACACUAAAAGAAAUUAAUACUCUUGGUUUAUAAUUAAUAAAAAUAUAUAUUUUUUUUAAAAGUCUUUUUCUUUGGCAUAUAGUAUGCGUUUUGAGGGGAAAAAAAUUUAUCCCACUCCUAAUUCGUCCUCUUCUGUGAUAUUAAUGUGUUAACACGAAGAUUCAUUGUAAUUGCAACAAUUUUGACGAAUCCAAACGUUCAAUAACUGUUAAAUUGUAUUUAUAAAUACUAAUAGCGAAGGUACAGAAACGAUUAAUUCAAGAAGUUGCUUAAAGUGCAUUAAAUUAGGGAGUAUAAAUAAUUGUGUGAUACAGUCCAGCCUUCAUCUGCUUAUAAUUAGCAACCAAAAACCACUUUGCAACACCAUUAAAAAAACAUUUUAACAUUAUUGCUGAGGGAAGAGGCAACUUAGGCUUAUUAACUCGUAUUAUUAAUGCUGAUGACGCAGCUGGUAAUCCUUUUGGUGAAUAUAUUAAGGCAGCUGAAGCUUAAAAUUAAUUAAGCCCACUAAAGCUUAAAACUAAUUCUUCUAGUGACGAUGCUUUGCUUAGUUCGCUUUUUGUUUUUAAUUUUUUUGGGGCUAACGUUUUGCUUAUUUUGCUUUUAAAAUUCUAUUGGCGUUGCUGUGGAAUAUUGUUUCUCCUUCGAUUUUCUGUUUUUGUUGUUAUCGGAUUUGAUGAUGGUUUAUAUGUACGAAGAUUAUGUAAUAAAGUGCUUUUGUAACAAUAUAUAUAUAUAUAUAUAUAUAGAUGUUUCAACAGCUAAGAAAGAGAUAGCCAUUAUACAUUACACAUUUGUACUCAAUAAGAAAUCAAUUCAUUAAUAUAGCCAUUAAUACGCCUGGUUUAUUGUUAAUGAAAAUUAAAAAAGAAAAAAAAAUCUUUUUCUUUGGCCUUUAGUAUGCAUUUUAAGAGGAAAAAAAAUUUAUCCCACUUCAAUUCAUGAAGAUAUUUUCAUUUCUGUCAUAUUGAUGUGUUAAUAUGAAGAUCCAUUGCAGUUGGUGAAUUCAAAUAUUCAGUAACUGAUGAAAUUAUAUUUAUAAAUUCAUACUAAUAACGAUUGAAGAUUAUAAUUAAUUUUUUAAUAUGGUCCAGCCCUCGUGUGUUUAAUUAGCUCUCAAAAACCACUAAGGUAAAGGCAAAAUCAUGAUAAAUUGUGGUCGGUUUAAUUUACUUGAUCAAUUGAUAUUGGGUAGCAUUGUUCUUAUACAAACACAAUAAAAGAAGAACACUAACGUACUAAUUAAUUACAAAUAAGAACAUUAACAAUUUUGCCGAAGUCUGAUGAAGAGAAAUAUUACACAUAUGUAACCGUACAACUAAAUAAAAGAAACUGAAGUUUAUUUCAACAGCUAAGAAUGAGAUACGCAUAAGAAAUUAAUCUAUUAAUUAAUUAAUUAAUUCAUACAAUUUUCAACUGAGAUUUGAAUUUUAAAAUUACAUACACAAACACACCUGAUUUAAAAGAAAAAAAUUUUAAUAAUAAAAUAUUUUACGUAUGUAACCAUACCGCGGAAAGAACAAAUGUAAGAAACUGAAGUUUCAACAGUUGAGAAUGAGAUAGGCAUAAGAAAUUAAUUAAUUAAUUAAUAGAGUCCUCCUCCUUUGCUAAAUAAUGCGAGCCCAUUGUUCCUUUUAUUUCGAAAACCCAUUAAUCAUCAACACAUACACGCCCAAUUUUAAAAAAAAAAAAUAAUAAUAAUAAAAUAUUUAAGUCGUCCUCUGUUCAAUAAUCAAAAACCCAUUUAAAAUCUAUUUUAACUUUAGGUAUAUGGGUUAACAAGUCCCAAUAUUGUCCUCCAUCUUUUCUGCACUUCUCUGCUAUCAACGGACAUCCCCCGAUGUAUAAUUGCAAAAGUGAGGAAGGCAGGCCCUUCUCCGGAAAGUAUUUGAGCUUGGGACAAUCCUCGAGUUCCAAGUGAGUGAGGUUUUGAAGAUCAACAAUUGAAGAAGAUAGGCGUUCCAGAUUUGGAAAAUUACCAAUCAUCAGGGAUGCUAGACAGGCAGGAAGAGGAAGCGUGGUCCUCAAUCUUAUGUCCUCCGGUGGGAAUGACACCAUGUCGUCAUCGCAUCCGCUGAUUGUAAGUUGUCGCAGAGAGGAGAAUCUGUGGAAUCCCCGACCCCACUCAAUCGUUGACUUCCAAAUCUUCUUAUUAUCAAUAAUCUCCAGCCUAUGAAGGUUGGUGGGAAGGCCAUCAUCUUCUUCAAGGCUUGGAAGCUCACCUCCUUCUCCUAUUGUUAAUUGUUGAAGAGAGGUCAGAUUGUGCAAUCCCUUGGGUAAGACCUGUAGUCUCUUACAAUAAGAUAUCUCUAGCCUCGUGAGUUUCGCACAAGGCAAUCCCCCUUGGGGAAAGGACACCAGAUUUUCACAUUCCCAUAUCCCUAUCUCUUGAAGCUGGCGGAGAUUAUGUAAACCACUCGGUAAAAUUUUCAGAUUUUCACACUCAGAAAUACUGAUUGUUUCAAGAGAUGUGUUGUUGUCCAACCUUUCUGCUAUUGACUCCAGCUCUGAACAACUCCAAACAUCAAGGGACUUAAGAGACGGAGGUAGAUUGCCAACUUCAAGGGACUCAAGCGUGGCAGGUAACUCGUUUUUUGAAAAUAUACACGUCAGUGACGGACACCUGCUAAUAUGCAAGCCCUCGAGAAGAGAUGAGGUGUACCUUCUGCUGCUGCUGCUGCUCUGGAUGCCCUCUUCCACCGUCAAAGUCCUUAUAUUAUCGCAAUGGCGGAUCUCCAACCACUUAAGGCUCGGUGGUAGUUGGACUCCAGCAAUAUAUGUCAACGAAUUGCAAAUCCAAAUCUCCAAGAUCUCGAGAGAUGAAUUGGUGUCGCACAUCCAUGCCUCUGGUAACGAUUUCAGUGCAUCACAUUCUCUAAUCUCAAUUUUCUUCAACUUGGAAGGCAGAGCAACCUCAGGAAAGGAAACAAGGGAACUGCAGCCGUAGAUUUCUAUCUCUCUCAAGGAGCUGAGGCUGAGAGGUGAUUGUGGCAGCUUCACAAGGUCUUGGCAAUCUCUCAAAUCUAUAUAUUCGAGUAUGCACGACAACUGGCAGAGCUGCUGUUGUUGGUCUUUCUCUUCCUCCGCCACCAAGGAUUGAAGUUUGGGACAACUUGUAAUCGUCAGUCUUUUGAGAGAGCAAAUGUCUUGCAGCAAUUCGUUAUGACUCUUCCAUAUAUAUGUCUGCUCUUUCAUAUCAUUUAUCUCCAAUUCUUCCAAUUUUGGUAUUCGCGGCUUCAAUGGCCCUGCGAGAAACACUUGAUUUGAUGUAUCUCUACAAACUACUGAAUUCUGCGAUCCGAGAUGACCAGUUGCACUUUCCCACACAAUCUUUUUGCAUCCACCAAUUAUGAAUUUGCAAAGAGAUGGAAGACUCGAAACUGAAACUAACAAUUCUUCACAUCCUUCAAUAACAAGCAUCUCCAAUGCAGGAAGGUGCUCUGGAAAUGUUCCUUUCAGUUUAGAACAUCUUAAAAUGUGAAGCUCUCUCAAUUUAGGAAACCGUUCAACUCCCUGACUGAAUCCAUGAGGAAUCCAGUCUUCCCAUCCUUGCAUGUCUUCAAAAUGAAGCGUCUCCAAGCAUGGAAAAGGAAUUGGAGUAUCAUUCCCAUAGAACUCUGAACCCAACCUCUUUACACUAGUCAUUCCACAUACUGCAAGAUGCUUUAGAGAGGGUAGUUGGCCGACUGACGGCAGGGUAGGACACAUGCCACAAUAUUCAAAUUUUAAGGUCACCAACUUUAAGAAUGAGGAAUCUCCGAACCAAGUUGGAAAUUUUGCGCCUCCAUAGCCGCUGAUACAAAAUUGUUCCAGAUUUUUAUGGGGUUCUAGCAUGUCAAGCACGUCCUUUUCAGUUUCCGCCUCCCUUGAAGACGAGCCAUCGGUACUGUUUGUCCACCGAAGCAUUAACACUUUAAGGUUCUUCUUUCCAUCCAAUUGAGCCUCCUUUGCAUCACCAACGUCUUUUACGUUCUCCAAUUUUGAAAUGCAAAGUGUCCCACGAAGGUGCGUCAACAACUUUAGCUCUCGUAACCCGGAACCACUGUCUUUUCCUACAACAAAAUUACACAACGUCUGAAGACAAGUCAACUUGCCAAUUCCUAGUGGCAUUUCCUCCAACGACUUCGUAUUUGAAUUCUUAAGAUGAUGCAAUUUGGCGAGGUUUCCCAUGUCUGCACACAACUUCUUCAGCCGAUCACAAUCUUCCAACAAAAGACUAUGCAAAUUGUAAAGCUUGUUGACUGAUUCAGGCAGAGUUCUAAUCUCAGUUCCAGACAGGUUAAGGUACCUUAAAUACCUCAAAGCACCAAUUGAAUCCGGCAGCUCAGGGAUGCGGUAUCCACGCAAAGAGAAGACCCUCAAGCGUUGGAGUUUGAGCAACUUAGGAAGAAUGCUAGGAGCCAAGUAUCCAGACAGUGAGCUAUUUGACAGCAUUACGGGUAAAAAUGUUCGCAAAUGUUGGAUAUCGUACAAGUCCUCAAACCUUUUAACACCAUCGUAAUCUCCACGAAUAUACGACAGAUGACGAAGAUUUCUUGAAAAACUUUGUUGCUUGUCAACCUCUGAGAUAUACUCCAUUCUGAAGUACAUUUCCCCAGCAGCCCAUUGAGCAAGGUCAUUGACGAGGUCGUGCAUCACAAAUCGUGAUAUACUGUUGCUUGAUUGCUGGAAAAAAGAUCUUGCACGUAGUUCUCGAAAGAACUUUCGACCUAGAUCUUCACUAGGAUUCCCGCUCUCUCCGUGAUCCAAGAGACCCACAGCACACCAUAAUAAAAUUAUCUCCUCCUCUUCAAAUUCAUAAUCCUUUGGAAACAAUGAGCAGUAUGCAAAGCAUUGUUUCAAAGGUGCCGAAAGAUAAUAGUAGCUCACUCUAAGCGCAGGUAUAAUGUCACAUCUCUCUUCUGGUAAAUCCCAUAUCUUGCAACUGAGCACAUCUUCCCAAUCACUUCGGUCACGUUUACCACGUAAGAGUCCACCAAGAGUUUUCGCAGCUAAGGGCAAGCCGUUGCAUUUGAUCACUAUAUUCUUGCCAAUGUCCUCCAAUGACUUAUGUGAACUGAAAUCUGUUGUCCCCAAAGAGUGCUGAGCGAACACAGACAGACAGUCCUCAGUUGACAAGCUUUUGAGUUCAUAAGCUUGAUCCAGGCUCAUGAUUUUGGCAACCUCUUCAUUGCGAGUGGUGACAACAAUCUUACUUCCCUGUGCGCCAGCUUGAAAUGAAAGGCUGAGGUGAACCCAAUCAGUGUAAUUCUCAUUCCAAACGUCAUCUAAAACAAGCAAAAAUUUCUUUCCAAAUAGUUGUUUCUUUAGCUCCUCUUGAAGCUUAUUCAAGUCGUGAUUAUCCACAUUCUGG